AUGCUGCAGACUCGGGGGACCAGGACUGGGGCCCAGAGAAGGCCGCAGGUGCUGGCCGUGCCCUUUAUCCUGGGCAGCCUGCCAGGGCUGCACACAGAGCACGGCUCCCGGGAGGUGGAGAUGUCUGAGUGGCGGCUCUCAUCUCAAUGUUGCCAGGUGACCUGCUGGCUGCCGGCACAAAGCAUGGAGGCUCAUAAACGCUGCCUUGUGAGCGUAUCAUUCCUGGAGCACACCUGCCAUGCAGCAUCAUUGCAUCACAACGCCCACCAGGAGCAGAUUGCCAGGCCGCGUUCUCUGGGUGUGAACAACAACAGCAACAAACCUGUGGCUAGUUCUUCAGUCAACAAAUUGGUAUUCGAAAGGCUGUCAUCGCUAGUACGGACGUCAUCGGUGAAUGAGAAGGCAGAGCCCGCAGCCGCACCUAAUAAAAGGCCAGCAGGGAGAUACAAUCUGCUGUGAUUGUGCAAUGAUGGGACAGAGGCCGGGGGUCACUAGUCCAGGUGCAGUUUUGAGUCCUCACGCAGUCUUUAAAAUGUGAUAAGGAAUGUAACUUUGAACUCAAUAACCUUUCCACCACGCUGUGAGCUAAAGGCAAAUACAACGGGUGGCCGGCCCCUGCCAGAGACAGGCACUGCGGGCCGCCCUCUCUCCAGGCAGGGCGGGGCACCCUGAGUGCUCAGUGGGCUUCCCAGCCCUCAGUCCCCAGACAGUGAGGGUCCCCGUCCUGCUGGGUGCCCCCCACCCCAGCUCCUGAGCCACAUGGUCACGGCUGGGGAAGCACAAUCCCAACCCUCAGGAAGGGUUUGUCAUCUUGCAACUCAGGACCCCUGGGCCAAUCACAGCAGCCUCAGCCUCAGUUUCCCUCUUGUUCAUUUCCCAUGUACUCCAGGGACCUCCCGAGGGACGUUCCCUUCCCAGAUAAGGCUGAAGUAAACCCUGGCAUGCAGGUGGGGUUGGGGGGGGGGGUCCUGGAGGGGACAUGCCUUGCUAAAGCCACCAAGCCCCCAGCAGUGCGCAAAGAUGGACAGGAGGGCGGCAGGGGCAUAGCUGGGCUCCAUGGAGUGGGG
ensembl:lncRNA